UUAGACCUCAGAUCAGGCAAGACUACCCGCUGUACUUAA
rnacentral:rRNA from 1 species